GGCAGAGCGUAGGGAGACUGUUAAACCGAUGCGGUGGUAAAGCUGUCAGGAAGGCAAUUCACAUAACGCUGCAUAUAAGAGGACAUACAGCCAAAUAAAGCAUGGAAUCUGCCCUUCA